rnacentral:tRNA from 1 species
GAGGGUAUAGCUCUGUGGUAAAGUGCAUGCCUAGCAUGCACGAGGUCCCGGGUUCAAUCCCUGGUACCUCCA